AAUGAACGCUGGCGGCAGGCCUAACACAUGCAAGUCGAACGGGAUCUUCGGAUCUAGUGGCGGACGGGUGAGUAACGCGUGGGAACGUACCCUUUGCUUCGGAAUAGCCUCGGGAAACUGGGAGUAAUACCGAAUGUGCCCUUCGGGGGAAAGAUUUAUCGGCAAAGGAUCGGCCCGCGUUGGAUUAGCCAGUUGGUGGGGUAAUGGCCCACCAAGGCGACGAUCCAUAGCUGGUUUGAGAGGAUGACCAGCCACACUGGGACUGAGACACGGCCCAGACUCCUACGGGAGGCAGCAGUGGGGAAUUUUAGACAAUGGGGGCAACCCUGAUCAAGCCAUGCCGCGUGAGUGAUGAAGGCCUUAGGGUUGUAAAGCUCUUUCGCUGGGGAAGAUAAUGACUGUACCCAGUAAAGAAGCCCCGGCUAACUCCGUGCCAGCCGCCGCAGUAAUAC
rnacentral:rRNA from 1 species